UACGUAGGGUGCAAGCGUUAAUCGGAAUUACUGGGCGUAAAGCGUGCGCAGGCGGUUAUGCAAGACGGGUGUGAAAUCCCCGGGCUUAACCUGGGAACUGCAUUUGUGACUGCAUCGCUGGAGUGCGGCAGAGGGGGAUGGAAUUCCGCGUGUAGCAGUGAAAUGCGUAGAUAUGCGGAGGAACACCGAUGGCGAAGGCAAUCCCCUGGGCCUGCACUGACGCUCAUGCACGAAAGCGUGGGGAGCAAACAGG
rnacentral:rRNA from 1 species